rnacentral:rRNA from 1 species
UACAGAGGGGGCAAGCGUUAUUCGGAAUUAUUGGGCGUAAAGGGCGCGUAGGCGGCUUUGCAAGUGACGGGUGAAAUCCCUCGGCUUAACCGAGGAACUGCCUGUCAAACUGCAUGGCUUGAGACCGGGAGAGGUGAGUGGAAUUCCCAGUGUAGCGGUGAAAUUCGUAGAUAUUCGGAAGAACACCAGUGGCGAAGGCGGCUCACUGGCCCGGUACUGACGCUGAGGUGCGAAAGCGUGGGGAGCAAACAGG